AAGGCACUAGUAAAACCAUUACCCCACCUUGUCGAGGCGGAAUCGUGGGUUCAAACCCCGCGUGUCUUA
rnacentral:tRNA from 1 species